rnacentral:rRNA from 1 species
UACAGAGGUCUCAAGCGUUGUUCGGAUUCAUUGGGCGUAAAGGGUGUGUAGGUGGCGCGCUAAGUCGGGUGUGAAAUUUCGGAGCUUAACUCCGAAACUGCAUUCGAUACUGGCGUGCUUGAGGACUGGAGAGGAGACUGGAAUUUACGGUGUAGCAGUGAAAUGCGUAGAUAUCGUAAGGAAGACCAGUGGCGAAGGCGGGUCCCUGGACAGUUCCUGACACUGAGACACGAAGGCCAGGGGAGCAAGCGGG